rnacentral:rRNA from 1 species
GCCGAAGGAUGCAAGCGUUCUCCGGAUUCAUUGGGUUUAAAGGGUGCGUAGGUGGCCUUAUAAGUCAGUGGUGAAAUCUCUGGGCUUAACCCAGAAAUUGCCAUUGAUACUGUAGGGCUUGAGUAUAGAUGCCGUUGGCGGAAUAUGACAUGUAGUGGUGAAAUACAUAGAGAUGUCAUAGAACACCGAUUGCGAAGGCAGCUAACGAAACUAUAACUGACACUGAGGCUCGAAAGUGUGGGGAGCAAACAGG